ACAGCAAACGAUGACCUGAACAUCAACAUGAAGAGUAUGCAGAAGCGGAGGCCCACAGUGAAGGCCUGCUGGCAGACAGUGAUAUAGUGGUUGCCAAGGAGACGGUGCCAUCCCAGAGGCUAGAGCCAGGUGGAGGUCACAACCAGCACCAGGGCCAAUCGAUCACUACCAGCCACGGCCAGGGGCACCAAGUCCAGGGGCACCAAGCCCAGGGGCACCAAGUCCAGGGGCAACAAGGGCAGGGCCAGGUCUCCACCAUCACCACCAUCUCCCUGGAGGAGCAGAAAGUGCUGCUGUCCCUGAAUCGACUCAACCAUCGGCUGCAAUAUGUGCAGGCAUUUGCUGGAGGCCACCCUGCUACUAAACCUUUCUUACGUGGUGAAGCGCCCUUUACAGAGGAAGGGACGGGUGCUGCCCACCGCAAACACCGCACGGUCUCCACCAACAACCGCCCUAGAACCCAGAGGAGAUUCUGACAAUGACGGUCCAACAACGUUCCAAUAUGGCCGCCUGAAUGUCACUUUGUCUGCUUGUGCUUUACACCAACCUUAUACACUGCUGUAUUAAUAAAAUGACUUUAUAAUAACUCCUCCUCGAGUUUCAGCACCACCACUAACUCUCUGCUGGGAUGAAGACUUCACAACCCGGGGCUGUGAAUAAGUCUAUUAGCAAAUGACAGUACUUAUAUUGACUUAUUUACACAUUAUAGCUUCGGUCUUAUAUGCAGUCAGGCUUUGCUAUUUGGUUUGGCCUUUAAUUGAUAGAGAUUAUUUUUGUACGAAAUAAAUAUAUUUAUUUUCCCCGGACAAUUGUGCUGUGUGUGUGUGUAUAUAAUGUAUUGUACACAAUCAUACCAAUACGAUUGUAUACUGAUGUCUGUCAGUGUGUAAGUUAAUCUUGAUAAUGAUGAAGCUAAUAAAGUCACCCAGUCCUCAAGUUUGGUUUUGUUCUGUUUCUGAAAGGGGACGCAGACGCUGUUUGUUGUAGAUUGUCCUCUAGGGGUCACAAGUUAACUCUUGUCAAAAAGGGACGUUCAUAAGAUGUGAAAACCGUUUCGUAUGAUGCAACGUCAACGGGUUUUUCAAUACCAUUCAAUUCAACUUGAUCAUAGGUGUGUGUUAACUGUUGUUGGAUGGCAGUUGAGUGAGAUGAAGUGUGUACAACUUGUACAAUAGACUCACUCCACUGGCCCAACAAGGUCAACAAGGGUUUGUUCAGAAACAACAAAUCCUAUUCUGUUUGGUCACUAGAUAAAGCAGUCGGCUCUAU